UUUCCGUAGGUGAACCAGCGGAAGGAUCAUUAAAGAGUAAGGAUCUUCGGACCCGAUCUCCAACCCUUUGUUUAACUACCAUGUUGCUUUGGCGAGCCCCUCGCACGACCGCCGUAAGUUUACCUUCGACCAACCUUCUGGCCCAACCCCGGCCGUUGCCCCUUCACAUUCUUGAUCAAGUAUUGUUUCUUAGUUAAAACAUUGAUAGUUAAGACUUUCAACAACGGAUCUCUUGGUUCUGGCAUCGAUGACGAACGCAGCAAAUCGGAACAGCACACC
rnacentral:misc_RNA from 1 species